UGGCUGUUAAUUGCGUAGUUUUUAUUUAUUAGGGUUUCCAAGCGGCGAAUUUGUUUUUUUUUUGUUUGUUUUUCUAAUUGUAAUGGUUGGUAUUGAUUUGAGUUUCAAUUCUCUUACUUCCACCGUCCUGAAUUUUCACCUUCUCCAUUCUGGUUAAAGCUAUGUUUUGUUUGAGAUUGUUUUAGUAAUAAAAAGGUGAACUAAAAUCCUGAUUCUUCGGUUGUGCGGAAAUUUUGAGGGGUUUAGUAUUAUUUAGAGCUAGAUUCUUCAAGUUGUGCAGAAUAUGAGGGGUUCAAAUUAUUUAGAGCAAGAUUCUUCAAGUUUUUUUGAAUUCCUCUCUCAGUCCGUCACCUCCGACUGCUGAGCGGCGCCUUUGCGUUAAUUGAUAGCUCCAAUGGCGUUUGGAGGUGUGGGUUUUCAAUUGACAGCAACUAUAAACUCGGAUAAGCAGAGAUAGAUGGCAUUUCCGCUGAAACUAUGUUGUUGUUGUGGAGUAUGAGGGAGAGGCACAACAUUGACUCGAAGUACAAAUUCUACUUCGAUACACUUCCCGAACAGUUUAAUACUGAUGGACAAGGCAGCUCUCCUAGAAAGAGUAGUAGAGCAAGUUAAGGAGCUAAAGAGAAAAAAUGAAAGUUAGCUCUGGUCCUGGUUCCAAGAAUUUCACAGGUUUCUGCCUUUUUUUUUUCUACAAAUAUUUUCUAUUUCUGGGGGUAAUUCCUCAUGUAGAUAUGUUCAUAUGUAUUAUCAAGUUUCUUUUGCUGGUGCCAUUUGUUUCUGUAGCAGAGUAUUUUCUCUCAGUUUGCCUUGUCCUUCUAUGUUUUCCAAUUAGAACUUAGCUGAGGUCUUUUGAGAAUAUACUCUCCAUUUUAGCUGAUGGCUAUUGCAUGUAAAGUAAGCUUUUGUAGCUAUGCUAACCUUGAUAAUCGUGCACUAAUAAAUGAUACAAUUUGUUCCUUAA